rnacentral:lncRNA from 1 species
UAAGAAUUGUCAAGAAAAGACAUGAUUAGUUUUGUGUUGGUACCUUAAAAUCAUGAUGGAUUGCAACAUAAAUUGCUGUUUAAAACCUUAAAAUAAAGUACCUCGCAAACUAGGAAAAGACACAAAACAGCAAGCAAAAGGGUUGUCUUAGUGGUGGCCAUUCUCAAACUUGUUUCUCUUUAUGUGUGUGUCCUUUCCUUUUUUAUUGUGGUUCAUUUCAAUGCUAAGGUGUGGGGGGGUUUAUAGGAUAGAGGUAUGAAUCCCAAAACUAAUUUUAGGAAGCUAAUUUCUAAUAUUAGACAAUUUAGCCAUUCUUUUAGGAGUAAUUACCCCAAAUAUAUAUAAAAGAGGAUAAACAAAAACAUGAAUACCAUCCUCAAACUUAAUUUUCUAUAUAGUUACUCCCCUAAUUACAGUAGGUUUGUUUUACAUUAAUUAAGUUUCACUUCUUUAUCUUCCUUCAAUUAUAAUUAAUUAUAUCCCUUUUUAUAAUUCUUUUCUCUUUAUCCAUAAUCAUUUAUAUAUAUAAAUUAGUUUUUUUUUCCUGCUGAUUGAUUUGUGUAUUAAUUAAAAUAUAUUAUAUGUAAAUAUUAAAAACAUUUCAUCAACAAUAUUGUCGAAACCAUUUUUUAUUUUGAAAAAACGGGGUCGACUUUUAAAAUGAAAAUGGAGUCGUCACCAAUCUUUUUCGAGAUGUGAUCGGGUCACCUUGAAAUUAAUCAUUUUAAUAAAACAUUUUGAUUUAUUAAAAUAAUGAUUUUGUAGAACAAAAUUCGAGAAAACGGGCUCGGGAGUUGGUUACGCACGAGGAAGGAUUAACACCAUCGUAACGCCCAAAAAUUGGUACCUAGUUGAUUAAUUAAUGUCCUAAUGUUGAAAAAUUAAAAAUUCGAAAAGAAAUUUAAAAAUAUGAUUAUUUUAUUAAAAAAAGAAUGGUGUAUUUCACAUUAAUCGAGAAAAAGAAUUGUAUCCCGUGAGUUAGGACACAAUAUCUCUAAUCCCAACACGAGAAUAAACACCAAAAAAUUAUUUAUUUUUAGAAAUUUUGAUCAUCUUGGUUUUGGAGAAGAAAUCAUAUCCAGUAAGUUAGAACUUUUCUGAUUCCCAAGACAAUUUUUUAAAAAACAAGUUUUUUUUUAAAAAAAGGGGUCGUAUAUUUAGAAUUAUCAAAAAAAAUUGAGACCCCGUAAGUUAGGAUACAAUCUUUUCGAAUUCCAAAAUACGAAGUAUUUUUAUUUUAAGAAAAAAAUAUGCAUUUGGGUCGAAAUUAAUGUGAUGCUUGAAAUGUUACACGAAUAAAAUAUUAAAACGACAAAUAACGAGAAUACGAAUGUAAAAUAACCAUGAUCACAUAAUAUACAUCACUUUAAUAUUAAAAAAUCAACAAAAUGAACAAUAAUAAUGAAUAAUAAAGGUAUAAGCAAUAGUAUAAAAAAUAUAAGAAGACAAUAUCAAAAUUAAAAGAAAUUAAUAAAUAAAUACACAAAAUAGCGUUGAGGAAAUUAAUCUACGAAAUAUUAAAAUGAUUAUUAAAAAAAGGUGAAAUUAGGGUUAUAAAAAUAAUAACAUUAAAAAUAAUAAAUAAUCUAAAGUUUUUGAAAAAAUAAAAAAUAGGAGAUAAAAUAAAAUAAAUGCAUUUAAAGUCUUUUAAGUUAGGAAAAAAUAUAUAUAUAAUGGAAAUAAUAGUAUAAAACUAAUUGAUUUAAAGAUAUAGCUACAAUAAUAAGUACAUAAAUAAAUAAGGUAAAAUAAUAAUAGCAAUAAUAAUUUUGAAUUAAUUAACUUAAUAAUAAAAUAGUCAAAAUGACAAAAUAAGAUUAAAUUGGGCUUUAAAACAAAGUUUUGGGGCAAAAUUGGAAAUAAACGCAAAAGGGAGGACUAGAUUAAACGCGCGGAUGAGAUGGAGGGACUGAAUGGGAAAUAAUUCCCACCCUCCAAAACGCACAGUUCCAUCAGGGACUAAAAUCGAAGCCGGGAUAAAUUAUAGGGCAAAAUAAACCCUUCCACAAAAACACGCGGCUCCUAAGGUUGGAGCGGGUCCGGUCUCGGGUUCAUGGCCAAAAUAGCGUUGUUUUGGUGCCUAAGAGGCCUGCGGGGCCUAUAAAAGCCAAGUUUUAAACAAAAAAAUCUAUUUAGCCCCUAGUUUCAGAAAAAAAACUGAAAGCUCUCCCCUCUUCCUUCAAAGAUUUCCAGAAUCCGACCAGCUCCGGCGCUGGACCACCGCGGCGGCCACCGGUCACCGGCUACAGUGCCACCGUCCAUUGUGGCCAGAAAAUCAAAAAAUAUUUUUUUUGGGUAUUUUCGACUCCCGAACCUAAAAAACACCGAUUUUUAUUUGAAUCGGCACCUCCCUCGCAAAAAGGUACGAUUUUUAUCCUUUUCUUCUUUUUUUUUGUUUUCUUAAAAAAAUAAAAAUAAAUAAAUAAAUAAGCCGAAAAAAGAAAAAAAUGGCACAACUACCUUUGAAAAUGAUCUGUAUUUGAAUUGAUUUUUCUCUGUUCUCUUUUGAUUCAUUCGUAAGUAAUAAAAUAAAAUCAGGGCCUUUUUUAUAGCCCAAAAAUACCACUUAUUUUCCUUUUUUUUUCUAUUUUUUACACUAGUUUUUUUUGCUUUUGGACUCUUCUAGUUUGUUUUGCAUGUGCAAGGACGUGGCGGCACACGCGGGGGAGGCGGCGGCAGCUGGAGGCUGUUGUUAUGAACGUGGCGGCUUAGGGUUUUUUGUUUUAUUUUUCUGAAAGUGUUUUAGGAUGUUCUGUUGGGCUAGGGUUUUAGUUAUUUGGGCUGAUUUGUACUUGUUUAUUUCUUGUGUUUAUUUUGGGUUUUGGGCCUAGGCUAAAAUUGGCUUAUUACAGCUGCCCCUCUUUACUCGUUGUCGUGUAACGAAAAUGGAGCAAAGACUUAAAAAUAAUCAAUUUUGCCUGGUCUUGCCAAGUCUUAACCUCUCUUGGUGCUCCUCUUCUUCAACUAGCCUAAUUCCAGCCCACUACGUCUUGUUGCUUCGAUCGACUCUACUGCAACUUCAGUUACGACUUGUAGCUUCAAUCUACUCUGUCGCAACUAGUGCAACUUCAAAGGUAUGGGAUUUUUCGUUUUAAUCCGCUCCACUGCAACUUCAGGGAGAUAGGAUUGAUGGCUUCAACCUACUUCAUAGCAACUUCAGGAAGAUAAGGCUGGUGACUUCAAUUUGCUGCACCGCAACUUCAGGAAGAUAAGAUUCGCCAUAAUUUGUAGCUUUAAUCUAUUCCACUGCUACGCCAGGGAAAUAAGAUUCGAUGUCUUCAGUAUGCUCCGCUGCUACUUUAGGGAGAUAAGGCUGGUGGCUACAAUCUGCUCCACUAUAACUUCAGGAAGAUAAGAUUCGUCAUAGCUUGCAACUUUAAUCUAUUCCACUACUACACCAAGGAAAAGAUUCGCUGUCUUCAGUCUGCUCCGCUGUAACUUCAAGGAGAUAAGGCUAGUGGUUUCAAUCUGCUCCACUGUAACUCCAGGAAGAUAAGAUUCACCAUAACUUGUAGCUUUAAUCUGUUCCACUGCAACGUCAAGGAAAUAAGAUUUGCUGUCUUCAGUCUGCUCCGCUGCUACUUCAGGGAGAUAGAACUAUUGGCUUUAAUCUGCUCCACUGCAACUUCAGAGAGAUAAGAUUCGCCAACUUCUUCAAUCCAUUCCACUGCAACUUCAGUGGUAUAGGAUUUGUGGUUUCAUCAAUUUGUUCUCUGGAGAACAUGACCUGUAGAAUCCAUUUCAUGAGCCUAUUUAUGCCUAGUGAUUAGGAUGUUAUGAUCGGAAUGAAUCAAAAUCUCCUAACUAGAUGUGUAUGCAUGAAUGCAAAAUGUCAUGAAAAUGAUCACUUAAUGUUUGAGUUAUUAUUGCUCGUUGUUCAUUAAGGCUCUAUCACCGACACGUUAGAACGCCAUCUUGUUCGGCAGGUAUUUCCACAGAAACACUUAUAUUUUACUUAAUCAGAUUGCCCCCACUGUAGUCUUCAAGGUUCAAUCCACUGUAAUCUUCUAGGUUCAAUCCACUGUACUUUUGGGAUAUAAAAUUUGAAUCAUUUUCCUCCCACUGUAAUUUAAGAGUGUAAGAUCUGGCUCUUUCUCAAUCCUCUCCUACUACAAUUCAAGGAUACAGGAUCUGAAUCUCUUCGGUCUCCUACACCAUUCCCAGGGUGUCAUACCAAAUGUUUAUGCACAAUUGUAUAACUUUUUUCUCCAAGAACAACCUCUUCCUAUUACUCGGUGAUCAUUGCUUGCUUGUUCAUUGAAGCUAUAUCACCAACACGAUAUCUUGUUGUUUUUUUUCAAUCAAUACUUUUGAUAACAAAAUCCAAAGAGAUAGUUUUAAUUUAGACUUUUUCUUCUUAGAUAUUUCAACCUUUAAACUUGGUGUGUUCUAAACAAUAGUCCUGUUUCAGGUUCUUGUAUUAUUUAGAAACUUCUAGAGUAAUAUGUAAAACUUUCCUUGUGAAAGUAUUAUUAGUCCAUUAAUCAUUAUUCUAACGCAACAUGCUUGCAAAAAGAUCAUAACAAUGGAUAAAAAUAAAAUUGAUUUAGAGCAUAGCUCGGAAUAAAUAAAUUAUCAAGGAUGAUAUAAAAAAAGGAAUUGAUUGGGAACACGCAUCUUGAAAAGAAAUGAAGUAUUCUAAGAACAACAAAUUUAAUAUAAAUAGUAUGUAGAGUAGGUGCCCCAGAUAUUGCAGCUUGAUCUUCUCUGUACCAACUUUCUGAAAAACUGUUUUUUGAAUUUGACAUAUGUUUAGGAGAUUUACAGUACUUUUUCGAUGCCUCAGAUGUCGCAUUCCCUUUCCUGUUGAUUUAGGUAUAGCAAGACCACCGCAUGAUCCAUUUUGGUCAAUAUUUGAGCCGCCCUUUUCGAGUUUUCAACUCAAAUCCCCUUUGGUCUCAAGGCGCCAUUUGCGGGUUUUCACCUUGGUAUCUUUUUAGGACUCAAAGCGCCCUUUGCGGGUUUUCACCUUGGUCUCUUCCCCUUUUUCAAGUGAAGUACUUCUUGACUGGAUCUGAGUUUACAGGAUUAGACAAGUUUUUACCAUCUAUUUCGCUCAAAAUCAAUGCUCCUCCAGAAAAGGCCUUUUUUACAACAUAAGAUCAUUCCUAAUUUGGCAUCCAUUUCCCUCUAAAAUCCUUUUGUAGAGGAAUGAUCUUUUUCAACACCAGGUCCCCUUCGUGGAAUUUUCUCGGACUAAUCUUUUUGUUGUAGGCUCGCAUCAUUUGUUUCUGGUACAUCUGACCGUGGUGAAUAGCUUUUAGCCUUUUUUCUUCUAUUAGGUUCAACUGAUCAUAUCAAGAUUGGAUCCAUUCUACUUCAUCCAACUUUAGCUCAGCCAAUACCCAGAGAGAAGGAAUUUCAACUUCAAUGGGUAAAACUGCCUCCAUACCAUAAACCAAGGAGAAAGGCGUUGCCCCGGUGGAAGUCCUGAUUGAUGUUCGAUAAGCAAAGAGGGCAAAUGGUAAUUUCUUAUGCCAGUCCUGGUAAGUCUCAGUCAUUUUCCCCACAAUUUUCUUGAUAUUUUUGUUGGCCGCUUCAACUGCACUAUUCAUUUUUGGGUGAUAUGGUGACGAAUUAUGGUGUCUGAUCCUGAAUUGACUGCAGAGCUCCGCUAUUGAGCUAUUGUUCAAAUUCAACGUAUUGUCAGAUAUGAUUGUUUCAGGCAUUCUAUAUCGACAUAUGAUCUCUUUUUUCAAGAACUUGCUGAUUGCUGACUUUAUGACAUUAGCACACGAAGCAGCUUCUACCCAUUUAGUGAAGUAAUCAAUAACCAUGAAGAUGAAACGAUGUCUAUUAGAAGCCUUCGACAAUAUUGGCCCGAUGACAUCCAUACUCCACGUGGAGAAAGGCUAUGGAGAAGUCAUAACAUGAAGAGGUAAAAGAGGUGCAUGUAUUUUGUCUCCAUAAAUUUGGCAUUUAUGGCAUUUCUUGGUAUAAUUGAUGCAAUCUCCUUCUAUGGUAGACCAAUAGUACCCGAAUUUCAUAAUCUGUCUAGCCAUUGUGAAACCACUGACAUGCAUUCUGCAAAUACCCUUUCGGACCUCCUCCAAGAUUUUCUUAGCCUCCACAGUGUCCACACAUCUUAAUAGUACCUGAUCAUUUCCCCUUUUAUAUAAGAUCUCCUCAUCUAAGACAUAAUCAAUGGCUAGUCUUCUCAGAGUCCUCUUAUCAUUCUCAGCUGCCCAGUCAUGAUACUUACGAUUCUUCACAUAUUGUAAUAUAUCUUGAUACCAAGGGCUGUUAUUCUUUUCUCCGUAUUCGAUAUUGUAACAAUGAGCUGGGGUUUCAUAGAUGCUCAUCUAUUUAGGCUUCAUGUCCUCUUGUCUGUUCACUUUGAUCAUGGAGGCUAGAGUAGCCAACACGUCGCCAUCUAGUUUUCAUCUCGUGGGAGAUAGCAGAAAUAAAUGUCAUCAAACUCUUCAAUCAAUUCGAGAACCAGCUUUCGAUAACUAGUUAAUUUGGGAUCUCUCGUUUCCCAUUCACCUUUGAGUUGGUAUAUCACCAAUGCUGAAUCUCCAUAUACCUCUAGUAUCGCAUUAACUUUAUCUGGGUCGAUCUCAAUUCCUUUUUCACUGACUAUGAAGCCUAACAGCUUUCUUGAUCUACCUCCGAAAUUGUAUUUUGAUGGAUUGAGCUUGAGCUGAAACUUCUUCAAACUUAGGAGCAAUUUCCUUAAGAUUUGAACAUGUUCCUCUUCUUUACUGAGAUAGUAUAUCACCCUUUCUUUCUUUCCUGUAGUAUAUCACCCUUUCUUUCUUUCUUUCCUGUCUCAUCAUGUUGGCCUAACAUACAUCCCAUAGAAUUGUCAAACAUCGUUAAAUACAGUAUCAGUGACCUAUCUGGACUAGGUGGUGACAAUACUGGUGUAUUAGACAAGUACGAUUUUACCCUGUCAAAAGCUCCCUGACAUUUCUCGUCCCACUCACCUGGAUUAUGUUUCUUUAAAAGACGGAAUAUUGGAUCAUAUUUUUUGGUUAAUUGUGAAAUAAAUCGGGUAAUGUAAUUCAAUCUUCCUAGGAAACCUCAAACUUCCUUCUGAGUACGUGGUGGAGGUAAUUUUCGUAUCGUAUUAACUUUAUCUAGGUCGAUCUCAAUUCUUUUUUCACUGACCAUGAAGCCUAACAGCUUUCUUGAUAUAGCUCCGAAAGUGCAUUUUGAUGGAUUGAGCUUGACCUGAAACUUCCUCAAUCUUAGGAGCAAUUUCCUCAAGACUUGAACAGGUUCCUCUCUUUUUUUGGAUUUUACAAUCAUAUCGUCGAAGUAAACCUCAAUUUCCUUAUACAUCAUGUCAUGAAACAAAGCUACCUUGGCUCUUUGAUACGUUGUUCCUGCAUUCUUUAAACCAAAUGGCAUCACUUUAUAGCAAAACGUUCAUCACAAGGUGAUGAAUGUGGUCUUUCCCAUAUCUUCGGGAUGUAUCUUUAUCUGAUUGUAUCCGGAGAAGCCGUCCAUAAAGGAAAACAGAGAGUAGCCUGCUGUAUUAUCCACUAAAGUGUCAAUAUCAAGCAAUGAGAAAUUGUCUUUUGGGCUAGCCUUUUUCAGUUCCCUAUAAUCCAUACACAUUCGUACUUUCCCAUCUUUUUUAGGGACUGUGAUGAUAUUGGCUACCUAUUCGGAAUACUUGACCGCCUGUAAGAACCCAACAUCAAACUACUUUUUGACUUCCUCCUUUAUUCUUAACACAAUAUCAGGCCUCAUCCUCUGAAGUUUCUGCUGAACUGGCUUGCAAUCCUCUCUUAUAGGAAGGUGAUACACUACAAUGUCAGUGUUUAACCCAGGCAUAUCCUGGUAUGACCAUGCAAAGACAUAUUUGAAUUCUUAGAGUAACUCAAUGAAGUCUCGCCAAUCUUUGUGGUAAUGUCAGUUCCAACCUUCACCUUUUUUCCCUCUUCCAAGCUCACAAUUUCUAAUGAUUCCUUGUGAGGUAGGAUUUGUUUCUCUUCGUGCUCUACCAUCCUCAACAAGUCUGGAGAUAAACUACAGUCUACGUUAUCUUCAAAGUCAUACGAUCCCUUUAAACACAUGUUUUGUUCAAAAGGAAAUUCUGAGUUUGUAGCAGUGUUAUUCAUGUCAUUGAUAUUUAGGGACGUAUUGUAGGUACAAAAGAAUAUACAAAGAAUGUAUGAAUUUAUGAAUAAUCAUUUGUACAGUGUAACUAUGAAUGAAUAAAAGAAUGAUUUGGAAGAAAAUCCAAAAGAAUGAAAGAAUCAAAGAGAAUUACUCGUAUAGAAUGAAAGAAUAUUUGCUCAAAAUGAUUGCAAAGAUAUACUUCAUUAAAAUAAUAAUGUUUAAAUAUUAGCCUAUUUCACAAAUGAGUUCUUAUCACUUCUUAGGCUCAAAGCAAUAAGAGUGUUCUGAACAUUACUCUGAGUAAGCUUUAAAUACUACAGGGAUUUCUUCUGUAGUCCAAUUGCUUAGCAUGCUCCUAGAUUCAUAAGGGCGGAUAUCUAACAAGGUCCCUCUUUCAGUUGUUCCUUUAUGAAUGGCAUUGAUGUGAAUGUUUCUCAAAAAAUUUUUAAUACUUUCUCUCAUUGGCGUCUUUCGCUCGGGAUGAAUAAUCUUUUCUGACAUAAAAAUUUCGGCUAUGCGAGGGAAUAUCAUUGGUUCCCACUUGAUUUUUUCCCCACUCACGCGUGCCUUUCUUCUUUCUUGCCUCUUCUCUAACUCUUUCCUUCUUUGUCUUGUAUUUGACUUGUACCCUAAGCCAAAACGGUCAUGCUUAUCCUUUAGCAUUGGAGUCUCAACUCUUCCCUGAAGAUGUCUCCCUAGUACUUUUCUCGGUAAGACUCAUCUUCCUACUAUCAAUUGUAGACCCAUUCUCGUAGUCUUGGACAUUUUUGGAACCAGAAUCCUGUUCUCCUCAGUAAUAAAUGUUGCAUUCACAAAUUCUAAAGACAGAAAAUAAUAUUCAACAGCUUCAUCAUCUGUCUCCAAGUACAGCGCAUCACUGGUUACAGCCGCUAUAAUAUCCUCUUCGACAUUUACUGUCACCAGCUGACCUUCUGAUACUUGCUUCAACUUUUGAUGUAGUGAUGACGGUACAGCCCCUGCCGAAUGUAUCCAAGGUCUCCCUAACAAACAGUUAUAGGAAGGCUUGAUAUCCAUUACUAUAAAGUCCACAUCAUAGGUAGUUGGGCGAAUUAACAGAGGUAUUUCAAUUCUUCUCAAGACUCUCCUUUUUGUACCAUCAAAUGCUCUCACUAUAUUUUAGCAUGAUUUCAUGUGAGAGCUAUCCAUAUGAAACCUAUUUAACGUGGACAAGGGCAAAACGUUCAAUACCGAUACAUUGUCAAUCAGAACCCCUGGUAAUGUGUACCCUUUGCAUCUGGUAGUAAUGUGCAGAGCUUUAGUUGAUCCCAUACCCUUGGUGGUAUUUCAUCGUCGUUGAACAAAAUAAAGUUAUCAGCACUUAUGUUGUUAACCAGUCAAUCCAGUUUAUUGACCGAAAUAUCAUUGGCCACGUAUGUCUCGUUUAGCACUUUCAUCAAUGCACUUCGGUGUACCUCUGAACUCAAGAGUAAAGCUAAUACAGAUAUGCGAGCUGGUUGUUUAUGCAAUUGCUCCACAACACUAUACCUGUUGUGUUUCAAAAACUUCAGAAAUUACCUGGCUUCCUCCUCUUUCACUGGCUUAUUAAUUGGCGGCUCAAGUUCAGCUAUUUUUCUCUUCUCUUAUUCCGCCGUCAGGGCUUUUCCUUUUACCGAUUUUGUUCGAGCAUAUAUCAGAUCGUAACAUCUCCCACUACGCGUAUGAGAACCUACAUCCUGAUCCUCCUUUGAAGCACUGGAUAAAUCUUCCUUUCCCAGAUUUGCCACAUCACAAUUAUAAUUCCAGGGUACCCUCUUACUAUCUUUAUAAGCAAAGACUGCAGGUUUCUAAAUUAUGAUCUUUGGUGUCAUCUGUACUCCUGCUUCAUUAUUUUUAGGUCGCGAGAUGGUGACCACAGAAUAAUUGACUUUUGGAACCUCUAUUGUUGACUAUGACGUGCAUAUAUUUCCCACUUUUUUAACUUUUUCACAGAACUCCAUCUAUUUAUUGUUUAUCAUGCCUUGCACCAAUGCUCUGAAUUCUUCACACUCUUGGAUCUUGUGCCGCACUUCAUGAUGGAACUCACAGUAGUUCCUCAUCUUUUCGUAACUUUCUUCUGAAUUCAAAAUGAUUGACCCCCUUUUUACCAUCUCUUUCCAGACAUAUCUCAAAGGAGUUUUUAUUUCUGCAAUGUUUAUCUUGAUUCUUCUUCCCACAUCUUCACUCAUCGCGUUUACCCUAUUAUCAAUAAGAUUGAGUUACGAAUUUUUUGCAUUAGAUGGGUCAUCGAAUUUGACAAUGCCCAUACUAAUGAAGCUUUCAACUAACUUUUUGAAGGCACUGCAAUUUUCUAUCGAGUGCCCCGUGAUUCCUGCAUGGUAUUCGCAUUGGGCGUUUGCGUCAUACCAUUUGAGGUACGGAGGUUGUAUUGGCUUUAAGUAAAAAGGAGAAAUGACAUGUGCAUCGAAUAAACUCUGAUACAACUCCCUAUAUGUCAUCUGGAUUAUCGUAAAUUGGGGUUUCUCAGUGUUUUGCUUUGCGCCAAAUUUUUGUUUUGAUGAACCUUGUUGACCAGCAACCACCUUUCUUGGCUGAUUUACAGUAAUCGAUUUAGAGUAACCCUUAUUAUAUGUACUUGUAUUGUUCACCUCGUUUUUUUUUCCUCGAGGCUGACCUUUUGUUACUUUCUCCAGCAUCUAUCUUUCCACUUCUUAUAGCAUUCUCAAUCAUCUCGCCAUUCAUGACUAUAUCUAAAAAACUUUUUGUGGCACUUCCUAGCAUGUGUGUGAUGAAUGGGGCUUUUAGCGUGUUGAUAAAGAGCAUCGUAGUUUCUUUUUCUAGGAGCGGCGGCUGAACUUGGAUGGCAAUCUCCCUCCAUCUCUGUGCAUAUUGCCUAAAACUCUCACUAUGUUUCUUUUCCAUGUUUUGUAAAGUAAUUCUAUCAGGAGUCAUAUCUGUUACAUGACUAUAUUGCUUCAUGAAUGCUUGUACUAGGUCCCUCCAUGAACUAAUCCUAGUACAACUCAAUUGGUUCUACCAUUUGGAUGCUGUCUCCACCAGGCUAUCUUGGAAGCUGUGUAUUAGUAGUUGGUCAUUGUUAACGUAUCCAGCCAUUCUUCUGCAAAACAUAGUGAUGUGAGCCUCGGGCAACUGAUUCCAUUGUACUUUUCAAAGUCCAACAUUUUGAACUUGUAAGGAAGUACUAAAUCUGGAACCAAGCUCAGAUCUUUAGCGUCGAAUCCAUGAUGACUAUCAGCACUUUCCAAUGUUUUGAAUUUUUCUUCCAGCCAUUGACACCUGUCUUCUAGCUAUUUUGGCAAUUCCACCUUCGCCUUUUCCUUUUCUGCCACUUUAUCAAAAUCGGGGAUAACGGGAUAAAUUGGGUUAUUUCUUGGGUUUGAACCUAAUCCAGCCUGAAAGUUUAUUGUCAUCGAAGCAUCGACCUAAGAUUGUUGAGGCCUAAUUGUGACGGACGGUCUCCGCGGGUACAUCUCAGCUUGGGCCUAUAUAAUUGGUGGAGUAAAACUUGGAGGAUAGAGCGACUCCUCAUUAUAUUCACUAGGGCUGGUCAUGGGGCCUUUUCAUUGAUCUAUUAUCCCAGCCAAUAAUUGGGUCAACUGAGCCAUAAUAUUUCUUUGAGAUUCCAACAUCUUUUCCGUCAUAUCUUGCUGAAUUUUAGCUAGCUGCUCUUGCAUUUGCGUUUGUAGUUGAUCUUGCAUCUCCCUUUGAAGUUGUUCAAGUAUUUCUAAUCUUUGGUCUAUGUCUUUUGUCUUAGCUCGGGUACCGUAAUGAUGUUUGGUUGGUAGGUUUUUUACCGGUUUCCAGCUAAACUGAAAUGAUUUUAACCAAUUAGGAUCUUUUGGUGGACUUUAAUACAUAUGAUGUAAUGUAAUGCAAAUGAAUGAAAUGAAUGCAAAAAGACAUCGAUUUUGAUUCAAUUCUAUUUAAAAAACUUUACCAGAAAACAAAAUUCUUUACAUAAAACAGAUUACAUAUAUGACUUUGCCCUAAUACUCAAAACUUUAAUUUUUCUAAGCAGUGACGCUAGCUCCUGCCCCCGGUCUAUUCCAGCUCGUACUUUACACUCAGUAUAUCAGCUUGUACUGCCAAAGUCUGUAAGUAAUCGGCUACCUCUCGAAUCUAAGCCACAGCCUCUCCCAUAACGUGAUAUCUGUUUCUAACCUGGUUUUGACAAAAUUGGAGCUGUUCUUUCUGACGCUCUUCUCUGGUUUCAAGGAAUUCAAUCAGCAUUUCACAGUUUUAUAAUGUCAUUUCUAAUUCUUCCAUUUUUCUUUUCAUUUCCUCGAUCCUGCCUAAGCUCGCUCUUAGCCCUAUCACAGAAUUACGGUUUCGAUAUUGAUGAAAAUUUUUCUCAAGUUUAACCACUCUAGCUUUUAGUUCAUCAUUUUCAUUUCGGCUUUCUGAUAAACUCUUCUCUAGGGUCUCAUUUCACAUUUGGGCCUCUUGGAAUUUCCUUUCCCAUCUAUCAGCCUUGAUAUUUUCCUCUUGAAUUUCUUGACAGCACUGCUCUAAAGCUUUCCCCAACCUAGCAGUUCUCAUCGAGAAAUGCAACUUCUUGUAGUCUAUUUUCAAACUAUCCAAAUCUCUCUCAGCUUUAUUCUUUCAUUUUCUUAAUUUCUCGGUUUUUAGCUUCUGAACAUCCAUGUUUAGUCUUAAAUUCAUCUUCUCUUCUUCCACUUGUUCUAUCUUCUUUUCUAACUCUAAAGUUCUUCUUUCAAAAUCUUGCCUUAUAAUUUUUAGCUCGGAGGGGACAACUUGUAAAUGUUUUCCUGUCGGCUGACUGUCUCACUGCCGAUCUCUUCAUCCUUCGAGUCUGAUUCUAGGCAUUGGACAUCUCUCGAAUCUUCUUCAUGUAACCAUCGCCUUUAUAUGAGAAUUGGCACUGAGCUAGCCCUUGGGUUGCGGGUACGAACUACCUUGACCUAUACUGUCUUAGUACUAGCAACGGUGCAUAGCCAAUAGCUCCCCAAAUCCCAAGUAGAAGGACCCAAUCGAAAUCACCACAUCUAAAUAAGAUUUUAUCUGGAAGCAUCCAAUGAGCUCUCCAUUCGAUAUCCUCUUAAUGAAGAUUCUGAAUAAUUGCCAUCUAUUUUUCCUCUGAGAUAUCAUCCCGCCUCGGUAUAACCACUAUCUUUUUCAAAGGCGAAAAGUUUUCAAAGACUCAAUAAGAAACCUUAUCAAAUUUCCAAAAGUGACCGUGGAACCAUGCUAGUAGGAGCUGCGCACACCCAAGAAAUCUACCCUCACCCGCUCUCCGGCAUUCGUUCAGCGAUCUGAAGGUUUCUACCAAAAUUGCUGGGACUAAUGUAACCCUCUUAUCAAGUUGGUCAAAGAGAUUGGUGACUACUUCAUCAACGUGUCCCAAGGCUUUUGGAAAGACAACUAAGCCGUAGACACUCAAGGCAAAGGCAUCAACUUUCUUCUUCGUAUCUGGGUGUGCUAGAAUUAGAUCCUUCAAGUUCUUUUAAGGAAUACAUUUGAUAUCCCCCUUCUGCUUGAUCCGUGCUACAAUCCAUUACUCAAUUAUCCCGAUAAUAUUCAUCAAUUUCUUCAAAAAGGUUGGAACAUUAACAGCUCUUGAAUAGGCUUUGUCUGCUUGAAUCUUCAAGCAACGAAGUAAGGCCAUGUAUUCCUCUACUGUAGGCACCAGAUCAACUCCCCCAAAAGUGAAACAACUAUAAACAGGAUUCCAAAACUGGGCGAGGGCGUGAAACAAGUGUUUAUCCACCUUUAUGUCAAGCAGAUAACAUAGAUCUCCAUAGCCAGAGUAAAAAAGUUGUUUGACCUCAUCGUUCCAUUGAUAUCAGAUUUCCUUCAAUUCUUGCAGACUAUUUUGGGUUACACUAAUAUGAGUGAAGUCCCACAACUCUGAUACAUAUCCUUCAGCCAAACUAUCACAUUUUUCCAGUUGUGUUGUCUCAGACCAAGUUUGGACAGUCGCAUUAUCCUCCACAUUAUCAAGAAAUCUCUUUUCCAUGAUAAGCUCUCUAUCUAGUAACUGAAUAUGAACCAACGCCUUUUAUGAUGAAAUGCUAUGCAGUCAAAAUGCCAUGCAAUCGAAGCAAAACACAAAAAAAGUUAGUAUAAUGUAUAAAAAAUAGAAUUCAACACAAACGUGAAAUAAUAAAGCACCUAUUCGGGAAUCUACUAGGGUUUGAUAUAGUUCUACUUAGGGCAAGUUCCUAAAGUUCACUACAUGAGGUUUAGCUUCUAGAGCAAAGGUACCCGAACCAGCAGAUUCCUCGAUCCUCACCCAUUAUAGGCUCAUGCAGACCGAGUUCGGUUCAGGGGAAUACAUUUUCCUAUGGCUGCACGGAGAUGAAAAUCUCACGAAAACAUAGGUACGGAUGUAUUCCGAAAGUGACCCACUAUCCUGCACGGAGGUGAAGACCUCACGAAUGACUAGUUUCUCACUCCCACUUAAAGGGGUAAAAUUGACCAACUUAUGUAAUGCAAAAUGCAAAUACACAUUAACAGAUUUGGACCAACCAAACAAACAUACUAUGAGUAAAACCAUAAAAAUAAUAGAUAGGAUGCAAAAGGGGAAAACUUAAAUCAAAUUUUCAUUUUUCGAUAAAAAGAUAAAAAAUUAAUCAAUUUGUAGUUUGACUCUCAACUGGUCCCCAGCGAAGUCGUCAAGCUGUCGAAACCAUUUUUUAUUUUGAAAAAACGGGGUCGACUUUUAAAACGAAAAUGGAGUCGCCACCAAUCUUUUUCGAGGUGUGAUCGGGUCACCAUGAAAUUAAUCAUUUUAAUAAAACAUUUUGAUUUAUUAAAAUAAUGAUUUUGUAUAACAAAAUUUGAGAAAACAGGCUCGGGAGUCGGUUACACACGAGGAAGGAUUAGCAUCCUCGUAACGCCCAAAAAUUGGUACCUAGUUGAUUAAUUAAUGUCCUAAUGUCGAAAAAUUAAAAAUUCGAAAAGAAAUUUAAAAAUAUGAUCCUUUUAUUAAAAAAAGAAAAGUUUAUUUCACUUUAAUCGAGACAAAGAAUUGUAUCCCGUGAGUUAGGACACAAUAUCUCUAAUCCCAACACAAGAAUAAACACCAAAAAUUUAUUUAUUUUUAAAAAUUUUGAUCAUCUCAGUUUUGGAGAAGAAAUCAUAUCCCGUAAGUUGGAACUUUUCUGAUUCCCAAGAUAAUUUUUUAAAAAAACAUGUUUUUUUUAAAAAAGGGGUCGUAUAUUUGGAAUUAUAAAAAAAAUCAAGACCCCAUAAGUUAGGAAACGAUCUUUUUGAAUUCCAAAACAUGAAGUAUUUUUAUUUUAAGAAAAAAUAUGCAUUUGGGUCGAAAUUAAUGCGAUACUUGAAAUGUUACACGAAUAAAAUAUUAAAACGACGAAUAACAAUGAUCACAUAAUUUACAUCACUUUAAUAUUAAAAAAACAACAAAAUCAACAAUAAUAAUGAAUAAUAAAGGUAUAAGCAAUAGUAUAAAAAAUAUAACAAGACAAUAUCAAAAUUAAAAGAAAUUAAUAAAUAAAUACACAAAAUAGCGUUGAGGAAAUUCAUCUAGGAAAUAUUAAAAUGAUUAUUAAAAAAAAGGUGAAAUUAGGGUUAUAAAAAUAAUAACAUUAAUAAUAAAUAAUCUAAAGUUUUUGAAAAAAUAAAAAAAUAGGAGAUAAAAUAAAAUAAAUGCAUUUAAAGUGUUUAAAUUAAUAAAUAAAAAAAUAUAAUGGAAAUAAUAGUAUAAAACUAAUUGAUUUAAACAUAUAGCUAUAAUAAUAAGUACAUAAAUAAAUAAGGUAAAAUAAUAAUAGCAAUACUAAUUUUGAAUGAAUUAACUUAAUAAUAAAAUAGUCAAAAAUGACAAAAUAUGAUUAAAUUGGGCUUUAAAACAAAGUUUUGGGGCAAAAUUGGAAAUAAACGUAAAAGGGAGGACUAGAUUAAACGCGUGGAUGAGAUGGAGGGACUGAGUGGGAAAUAAUUCCCACCCUCCAAAACGCACAGUUCCAUCAGGGACUAAAAUCGAAGCCGUGAUAAAUUAUUGGGCAAAAUUAAAAAAUAAAAAAAACUUGAUUGUAAAUAAUGAAAAAGGAGAAAGGGCCAUACGCGCAAAUAGACCCUUCCACAAAAACAUGCAGAUCCUGAGGUUAGAGCUGGUCGGGUCGCGGGUUCGUGGCCAAAACGGCGUCGUUUUGGUGCCUGAGAGGUCUGCCCAAAACGACGACGUUUUGGGGGCCUAUAAAAGCCAAGUUUGGAACAAAAAAAAAAUUAUUUAGCCCAUAGUUUCAGAAAAAAAAUUGAAAGCUCUCCCCUCUUCCUUCAAAGAUUUCAAGAAUCUGGCCAGCUUCGGCGUCGGACCACCGCGGCGGCCACCGGUCGCCUGCGACGGUGCCGCCGUCCGCGGUGGCUGAAAAAUCAAAAAAUAUUUUUUUGGGUAUUUUUGACUCCCGGACCUAAAAAACAUCGAUUUUCAUCAGAAUUGGCACCUCCCUCGCAAAAAGGUACGAUUUUUAUCAUUUUCUUCUUUUUUUUGUUUUCUUAAAAAAAUAAAAAUAAAUAAAGAAAUAAGCCGAAAAAAGAAAAAAAACGGCAGAACUACAUUUGAAAAUGAUCUAUAUUUGAAUUAUUUUUUCUAUGUUCUCUUUUGAUUCAUUCGUAAGUAAAAAAAUAAAAUCAGUGCCUUUUUUAAACCCGAAAAUACCACUUAUUUUCCUAUUUUUUCUUUUUUAUUACACUGUUUUUUUUUUGCUUUUGGACUCUUCUAGUUUGUUUUGCAGGUGCAAGUGUCACGGGCCGCAAUUCAAAGCCCGUGACCAUCGCACCAAAUGUAUCCAAUGGAGGUCUAUUGCUUAGAUGGGGAUCAUUUGGCCUACGAGAACUGGCCCGAUUCAAAGAGCUAUUGGACAAGCCUGUCAAAUUGAAGCCUGGUUGGCCCGAUAAUGAAGAGAUGGCAACUUAGGCUAAUAUGGUAACUAAUCUUAGAAGAUAGAGGGAAUCAUAUCUUGUAAAGAUUAGAUUAGAUUUGAUAAGGCUUAUCUUGUAAAUCCCUAAAAUUAAGGGAUAUGGUUAAAUCUCAUCCGUCGAUGUAAAUGUAUCUUGACCGUCGGUUUUGGGGGAGCUCAACUAUAAAUAGAGAGCCUCCCCCUCAUUUGUACUCACUCCAUUCAUUGUUUCAUUAUUCUUUGUGAAUAAGAGAAUAGAUAGCAUUUACUCAAACACUUUGCGAGCAUAUUUUCUAUUGUUCUUUGUUGUUCUUCUUUUGGCAUAAAUCGCUUCCGUUCUUCAAUUGGUGCCUUGGAGGAGUUCUAAAAGAAUCCUCACUUGAGUUAAGGCUGACUUGGGCGAGUUUGGAUGAACGGAUCGCCUAAGGCCGCACGGUUUGCGAGACGAAAUGUCUAGCCCCGUGACAAGUGGUAUCCGAGCCAAGGUUUGAACCAAGUAAUAUUCGAGUUAUUGGUUCGAAGCCACUGUUGGGAUGUCGAAAGAAGAGUUCGAACAAAGGUGGGCGAGGAAGUCUUUGAUGGAAAUGUUGUCGGCUGUUGAGGAACGCGUGGGUAAACUUGAGGAGUCCAUAGAGGACGCAAAUGAAUCGGGCAAUGCGCUUGGGGAAAGCAUUGAUGACUUGAAGGAGCAGUCCAGGGAGUUUGUUACCACAUGUCUCACUUCCCAAAGGGAUAACGUGCGAGAGUUGUUAGAUUCCCAAAGGAAGAAGCUAACGGAGAGGAACGGUGCUCUCGAGGCCACAAUGAUGGCUUUUAAGGAGGAAACAAUGGCUACAACGAGGGCUUUGAGCACAAGAAUAGAGGAGCUCGUGGGAGAGCUGGCCUUGUGCCGAGCAGCCGUAGGGAAAGGAGUGUCAAGUGCAGCACUCAUGGUCUGCAUGUGAUGUGGACAAUUUCUUGUGGAGGAUGGAAAACUACUUCCGUGCCAAAGGCAUCAUGGAUGCUGCGGUUAAGGUAAACACUGCUUCAAUGUUUCUUACUGACAUUGCGCUUUUAUGGUGGCGAGGUAGGACCACAGAUAAAAGGCAAGGUGAGAUUGGGACGUGGCAAGAGUUCCAAUGCGAAUUGAAGGGUCAGUUUUUCCCAAAAUUUACCGAGGAAGAAGCUCGGACAAAGUUGCAAGGGAUAACGCAAUGGGAUACAGUGGGGGAGUAUGUUUGAGAGUUUAAUGAACUCAUGCUCCAAGUUUCAGAGGUGACCGAAAGAGAGGCAUUGCUUGUUUUUCAGAAUGGAUUGAAGCCGUAGGUCAGACAGGAGGUGGAACAAAGAGGAGUCCAAAAGCUGUCGGAAGCCAUGACGGUAGUUGAGUCCGUGGUCAAGCUUGGUCUAGGGAAAGACAAGCUUGGGUCUUCCAAGUUCGAGGAAAGGGACGUAUGUGAAAUGGAUCACAAGGAAGAUAUUGUUGAUGCCAAUGGCAACGGCGACAAUGGUGGUAAUGGAAAACCACGAGUUGGGAAGAAGAAACCUAAUAGAAAAAGGGACAAGCUGAAAUGCUUUAUUUGCGACGGUUCACACAUGUUAAAGAAAUGUCCGAAGAAAUCCGCGCUUAAGGAGAAGCCGGUGGGUAAGGCCUUGGUACUUGGUUCGAGGGCAAUGGGUGUCGAAGCCAAGGAGGCCGAAAGCGAGAAGAAGCCAGUGGAGUGCUUCUUGUGUCAUGGUCCACAUAGGUUGUAAAAGUGUUCAAGGAAGUCUGUCAUCGAGGGGAACGAUGGAGCAGACAAAGAGCCUAAGAAGCUUGGUUCGAGCAAGGGAAAAGCCGAAGCCAAGAGGGCAAAGAGGAGCAAAAAAAAGCGAGUAAAGUGCUUCUUGUGCCAUGGUCUGCAUGAGUUGCAGAACUGUCCAAAGCAAGCAGGAGUCAAAAGAAAGGCAACGCCUGAGCUUGGUGAGUCAUCGGAGGGGCUUCCAUCCAAGGAAGAGGUGAGUUUGUCAUCGGACUUAGAGGAAAGAGUUACGAUGAAAACAGUGAAGCUGGGACCAAUAAGGCUCAAGUUGAGUGAAGUGUCGGAGUUGGCCAAGUCAUCGACAAGGCUUCCACCUAUGGGAGAGGUGGGUGGUGCAUCGGACUUCAAGGAAAAGGAAGUGAUGCAUGUGGGACAGUUGACCAGAGUAAAUGCGAAGGCACAUUCCGAACACUGUGAUAGUGUUUUGCAUUCUAACUUGUUGACUUGGCAAGAACGUAGGGGCCCUUUCGAAGUUCUUGAGCAAAGAGGCCGAGAGACUGUGGGCAAAGCGAAGCCAAGUGUGGUGAAUCAAGAAGAUUUUGUUCGAGCAAAGUUAGAAUGUGGACAAGAGAAUGACAUAACUUCUUGUCAUCGAGAUGUAAAAAUGAGUAGGACGGUUCGAGUGAAGAAGCGACGUAAGCCAAAGAAAAAGUCCCGAAGGAAGAGAAAGGCUAAGGCGUCGAGACGAGACCGAGGUAAAUCAAGUCAGUGCCAUUCAGAAGUCGCAACGAGGACGUUGCGAGAAUGGGUGGGGAGAACGUCACGGGCCGCAGUUCAAAGCUCGUGACCAUCGCACCAAAUGCAUCCAAUGGAGGUCUAUUGCUUAGAUGGGGAUCAUUUGGCCUAAGAGAACUGACCCAAUUCAAAGAGCUAUUGGAUAAGCUUGUCAGAUUGAAGCCUGGUUGGCCCGAUAAUGAAGAGAUGGCAACUUAGGCUAAUAUGGUAACUAAUCUUAGAAGAUAGAGGGAAUCAAAUCUUGUAAAGAUUAGAUUAGAUUUGAGAAGGCUUAUCUUGUAAAUCCCUAAAAUUAAGGGAUAUGGUUAAAUUUCAUCCGUCGAUGUAAAUGUAUCUUGACCGUCAGUUUUGGGGGAGUUCAACUAUAAAUAGAGAGCCUCCCCCUCAUUUGUACUCACUCCAUUCAUUGUUUCAUUAUUCUUUGUGAAUAAGAGAAUAGAGAGCAUUUACUCAAACACUUUGCGAGCGUCCUUUCUGUUGUUCUUUGUUGUUCUUCUUUUGGCAUAAAUCGCUUCCGCUCUUCAAUUAGUGCCUUGGAGGAGUUCUAAAAGAAUCCUCACUUGAGUUAAGGCUGACUUGGGUGAGUUUGGAUGAACGGAUCACCUAAGGCUGCACGGUUUGCGAGACGAAAGGUCUAGUCCCGUGACACAAGGACGUGGUGGCACACGCAGAGGAGGCGGCGGCAGUUGGAGGCUGCUGUUAGGCGCGCGGCGACUAAGGGUUUUUUGUUUUAUUUUUCUGAAAGUGUUUUGAGCUGUUUUGUUGGGCUAGGGUUUUAAUUAUUUGGGCUGAUUUGUAUUUGUUUAUUUCUUGUGUUUAUUUUGGGUUUUGGGCCUAGGCCAAAAUUGGCAUAUUACAAAUAUUUCUCUCAAUCAUUUUGCUUUGGUUAGAGUUUUGCUUUAAUUAAUCAUAGUGAAAAUCAAAGGAAAUAAUCCUUAAUACAUUUAUGUUACAUUUGGUUAUUAAUGUAAUAAUACGAAGAAAAUUUUAUUUAACACAUGUUUUAAAAUACCUAGACAUAAAAUAAAAAAUAAUUAAUACACAUUUAAACAUAAAAUUAGAAAUAUGAGUAGAAGUUUUUAUAAAAAAUAAGACAUCUUCAGAAUAAGUGAAAAUUUUUCCUUUUUGCCACAAAUAAGUCAUGUGAGUGGCUAAAAAAAUACCAAAUGUGUUUAAUUUAUAGCUAAUCAAAGACUAAAACAUGUGAAAAAAAUAAUAUUCCAACCAAACAUAGCAUUAUAGUAACAAACUUUUUUUUUGUUGAUCCUCUAUUCACUUUGAAUAUGAUUUAUGUCUUACAAAGAGAGAUUAUAUCUUUGGGAUACCUAUUCGAAACUCAUUUCUAUGAUGAAUCAAAGCAUGACAAUUUUGAUUUGGUAUGGUAAGUCAAAUGACUAGUUUUACGCUGUUGUCACAUGAGAUUAUAUUCUAUAGAUACUUGUGUGAUUAUACAAGUAAAAUUUUUCAUGAUAGAUCAUGUUCGAUCAAUUUUUCCAACAUUAUAUAUUAGUCUUAGUUCAGUUGGCAUUGAUAUUAAUGCCAGCGCAGGAGGAUGUAAGUUGGAGCAUGCUUAGAUGCGUUUAUCUUACUAUUUAAAGGUUGAGAGUAAUUGUUAACAGUUUUAGGCGUGGUAUAAAAAAAAAAGAAAAGCUAAUCAUGUACCAACAAGAAUAUGUUUAUUCAUAUACUUGAUAAUCUUAUUAUCAAACUCAUUACACUUGUUAGAUUGGCAACCAAAUUUAAAAUUAUAAUCAAAUAAAUAUGGGGGAAAGAUAAAAUCAGUUGAAAUUAUCAAGGAGAAGGAUAAAUAAGCAAGCUUAAACUUGCAUUUUUAUUUAGUGAAUUACAUUUUUUUUUCUUUUCUCUCUUUGUUUUAAGAGAUUUUAUUAAAGUACACAAGAGACCCUCUCAUAAAUACAAGUGAUAGUUUAGAAUGAAUCCAUGAGAGGAAUGCGUGUUUAGAAAAUAGAAAGAAGUGAUUCAAGGGCACUUGCCAUUCUUGUACUUGGCAUAGCAAGGGCAUACUUCCUUGUUAGCAGUAGGGCCAGGGGGCACACACCCAUCGCAGGUGUUGCAGCAAGCGUUGCAUGUUUUAAGGCACAUCUUCGGCUUCCAUGACUUGCUGCACCUUGAUGCACACUUCCCCUCGCAUUCUGGGAUUAGGGGUUUUCCAUUAAUGCAUACAUUCAUAUAUAAAGCUUUUUAUAUUCGAAGAGUACAAUUAUUCAUAAACUCUCUUACCUGGCCUUUGGACUUGGGCUUCAACCAUUAGCAUCCCAAUCUAAGAAUUGUCAAGAAAAGACAUGAUUAGUUUUGUGUUGGUACCUUAAAAUCAUGAUGGAUUGCAACAUAAAUUGCUGUUUAAAACCUUAAAAUAAAGUACCUCGCAAACUAGGAAAAGACACAAAACAGCAAGCAAAAGGGUUGUCUUAGUGGUGGCCAUUCUCAAACUUGUUUCUCUUUAUGUGUGUGUCCUUUCCUUUUUUA